rnacentral:rRNA from 2 species
ACGGAGGAUCCGAGCGUUAUCCGGAUUUAUUGGGUUUAAAGGGAGCGUAGGCGGAUGUUUAAGUCAGUUGUGAAAGUUUAAGGCUCAACCUUGAAAUUGCAGUUGAUACUGGACGUCUUGAGUGCAUUAAAUGUGGGCGGAAUUCGUGGUGUAGCGGUGAAAUGCUUAGAUAUCACGAAGAACUCCAAUUGCGAAGGCAGCUCACAGGACUGUAACUGACGCUGAUGCUCGAAAGUGUGGGUAUCAAACAG